rnacentral:tRNA from 1 species
GCAGUCGUGGCCGAGUGUUAAGGCGAUGGACUAGAAAUCCAUUGGGGUCUCCCCGCACAGGUUCGAAUCCUGCGACUGCG